ensembl:lncRNA
UCACAUUGCUGUUGGCAGUUAAAACCAGUUUAACUCUGACUCAGUGGAGAAUCACACGUCAUGCUUGAGGUUUCAAGAGGAAGAAAAUUGCGAGUGUGCAGUUUGCACCAUAACCUAGUUCUAAAGGGUGGGGGUCUCUGUGUGGCCCAGUAGGUCAUGUUCUCUAAUAGAUUACUUAUUCCAUUAUUUGCAGUUUGGCACUAUAAAAUGAGUCGAUCAUAACUAUCAGUGAUUUAUAAAACUCAUUGACCACUUCCAUUUAUUUUAAUUUGUUUGCACAUACACAUUAUGUAUUUUUUCAAAUAUAAAUCUCAAGAUGAUAUUUCACCCGAAUUAAAAGAUAAACAUUAAAUAAAAAAAUAAAAAGAUGUUACAUAGAUUAAAAAUAAUUGCCCACUUCCUGAUAUCCUUCCUACCAUUUAACUACAUAAACCACACACAGAAGAGAAUCAGCCAAGUAAAAAAAAAGUGUCCUACAACUGAUUUUUGUUCUUUAUUUAAAAACUGUUGUUGUCAUAUGUUAUAGCUUCCAAUAUAUAUCAGAAUGAACACAGUACAUUCACUAAUGUCAAAAUACUGAUAGUGAGAGCUGAAAGUUCAAUACAUUUUGAAGCAAAAUGCUAAUCAUUUAAUUGUGAUGCAAUCUUGAAUCUCAUCAGGUCUUAAAUUGUGUUUAGUGUACAGAGGGCUACUAAACAAUCUAUAUAUAGCCAUUACAUAUCAGAUAAAUAGAACUGAAAGAGUUAAAGAUAAAUAGACAUUUAGUAAAAGAAAGGGUGGUGUCCCACUUCCUGUAGAUCUCAGUCUUCAAGACCACCAGCUGUAUAAGUAAUCAUGCAUACCAGAAGUAAAGAUCUGACUGUGUCUGGUGGGUCUGUACACUUCUCACAAUAUGGCAUUGCUUCUGUCCUUCGUGAUCCUCUUGACUCUGACAUUCCACGCUUGUCUGAGUGAGCCAGACAUGCUGCACCCGUCUCAGCCCUGCACCAGAGGAGAAAACAAGAAUGCUUACAACACUUUUCUUAAACGACACGUACGUGAAGGCACACCAACCGAUCUGAAAAAAGAAAACUGGGAGAAGUUCAUUGACCGCAUCGGCACCUGGAACAGGACGACUCAGUCAUUCUUUCCCUUCAGUGAGAAAACCAGUGUGGAAGCUGUGUGUUCAUCAGGAGGACAGGUGUGUGAGCGCAACCUCUGCAUCAGCAAGAAGUCUUUUUCCUUCAUCACUGUAAAGAUUGACAGUAAAGAGAAAAAAAUCAAAAGUGUCAAGCGUCAGAAACAGCAUGUUAUUCUUGCCUGUGAUAAAUUUGGAGACAAAUGUCUCCCUGAUCAUUUUGAGGCAAAUCGAAAAAAAUGUAAACCAAAUAACAACAAACCAGACUGCGGUAAGCUGAAUCGCAAUUCUGAUUAUGAAAAAAUGUUUCCAUGGCUGUAAUAGAAGACAAAUGACCUGCAGAACUGCAGAAAACUGCUUUUUCUGUGGGUUGAUGAAAUUGUUAAUGUUGAAAAAUAUAAAUAAAUGUCACACAUACAUAUAACAACUUUCUUGCUUAUAUUAUGUUUCAGCUACAGGUUUUCUUGUUCAGAACACAUUAAAUUAGUUUCAGGAGAGACAAACCAGCACCUACAAAUCUCCACAGAGAGUUUGGUUUUAUUUUAAAUACAUGUAUUGUAUAAAUACAUGUAUUUAUAAUUUCUUGCAAAAGUAGCCUAUACAUAACGGGCUCCAAAAUAUAUCACCGCCCUGCCGGACAGUCAUUCUUGAACAGUGAUUUAAAAUUCCUAACUUGAUUCGCUUUGUUCACUCGCUUGAAGGGGUGAAACGGACCGUAGUUGAUCGUUUGCACUUGUUUAUAAAUCUUGUCGAUUCAAACGUUUCAAACAAUUCGCGCGCAUUUGGAGAUACGCGCACACAUUCAAAGCACGCGCUGAGAGCGUUUCAGACCAUGCGCGUACACAUGAAUGAUUGAUUCAUCUUUCGCUUAUCCUAGCUUCUGAAUGAACACAUACACACAAAAUUAUCUCAAAAUAAUUGUCUCUGCAAGUAUUCUCGCAAACACAGUCGAUUAUGUCUUAAGUGAAUGUAUACAGUGGCUAAAGAAAUCUCCUGUGCAUUAUUAUAUUGGAUCUGUGCACUUGGUCUUAAAGGGGCAGCAGCCUUUAAAUACCCGCUGUUCCAUUAGUGGCACCUGCUGUCAGAGAGUGUCAUUUGGAUAGUAAUUCAUAUGGUUUCCUCUGAUUUAAAACAGAGCACCAACAAAUCUUUUGUUUAAAUUGAGAUAUUUAUUUUAGUUGUAUGAUUUUUUAUUUGAUUUAGGAUGUUUAAAAAUUUCAAGUUCGUUUUAUUAGUUAACAUUUCAAUUUCACAACGAAAUAUGCAGCAUUUUGUCUUUUGUCUAAUAAUAAAAGGAUUCAUUUUCAUUUAUAAUUUGUCUUAAAUCUCAUUUUGUAAAUAAAUAAAUAAAUAUACAGAUAAAUUUAUGGUGUAAUCUGUAAUAUGAAUGGUAUUGCAUUGGAAGUUUAUUGAAUCAUUACAUCCAGAUAUGCUACUAGUUUUUGCUGUCAAUUUUGACUCAGCGAUUCUUUUGCGACUCUUUUUAACUUAAAGUUUGGUCCAUUCUUUAAAUAAAUCUAUUGUAUAACUUGUUUUGGCUACUUUUAUUAUGUGUUUGGUCUGUCUGGAUUCGUUCUGAAGCUUGGAAUGCAGCAUGAAACAGCAAGGAAUCCCAUUCAUUGUAUUCAAAUUCAAUUUAUAUUGAUUGGAAUAUUUAAAUGACAUAACUUAUUUUAUAUGUUCUUAAAAAUAAAAUGCAAAGAAACCACAAAUUUUAUAGCUGGUAGAUGUCGGAAAUAGCAUAAAAACAAGGCAUCAAGUUCCUUUGUGUUACAAAGUUUAAGUAUUUCAAAGUAUCCUAAAGUAUUUAGAUUAAAGGGUUAGUUCGCCCAAAAAUUAAAAUGAUGUCAUUAAUAACUCACCCAUAUGCUUUUCCAAACAUGUAAGACCUCCUUUUAUCUUCGUAACCCUUUAAGUUACUAAACCUGAGUAAUAUAAUGACAUACGUGACUGAUUACUUUUUAAAGCUUGUAUUUUGUAAUCUGUAGUGAAAUACAUUUUAAAAGUAACCUUCCCAGCCCUGUAUACUGUGUGUGUGUAUAUAUAUAUAUAUAUAUAUAUAUAUAUAUAUAUAUAUUACAUCGGCUCACGAUCAAAACUGGGAAAGCUAAAAAGGCUGAUGUGUCAUAACAAUUGAAAAUAGCGAUUGAAACUCAGAGAGAUAUACACCACCCGAAAAAAUAUAUAUAUAACGUUGUUAAGCUAAAGGAAGUGAAAAGAUACUGUCCACAUUAAAAGAAGAACUUCACAAACACCAACACAUAGGUCUGCAGUGUGAACAUUUCGGCAAGUAUCAUUAUGUAAUCUUGCCCAUUCACAUGUAUAGAGUUGCUAUCUGUUAGAGACAGAACCACGUGCAUGCCACAGACGCCAGCAGAGCUGUAGUUUAUAGCAUGCUAUUUUUAGAUGACUUUGAGAGAGGACCUGAAGACCCUGGCCGGUAACCUGUGUAUCAGUAAAGAUAAAUUAUCUUUUAUGUUUUUUUAUGUUUUAUGUUCUCUUUAUUACGUUUUAGCUUUGAUUCCCAUCCACUUAAAUAAUAAGACAAAGUCAAAUCAGGCAAAUGUUUCCGUUAAAAAUCUCAGUUUGUGUUCUACUGAAGAAACAAAGUCACCUACAUCCUGUAUGCUCUGUGGGUAAACAGAUAAACAUCACAUUUACAUUUUUGGGGUGAACUAUCCCUUUAAACUGCACUUUUAUUUAUUGUUUGCCGCCAGGGGGCUCUUGUUCUCCACAUUUUACUCAAUUGACUGAACAGAAUAGGCUUUUUACUUUAUGAACCUGAACAAAACGUUAAGAUUCGUGUUAAUGCAGAAAAGUCUAUUUUUAUCCGGACCAGAAAGCACUAUAUGUAUUAAUUACAAGCUUGUAUGGUAGGUGAGUUGUACAGUGUAGACUAAGUUGUGAAAGCACUGAUUUGUGAACGCUCUCAAGGAUGGAUUUUGUUACCUCACUUUAUCCACGAGAUGACACUAUUGCUCAAAUUUAUAUCGUAAGGCACGAGGCUUUCAGUUCAUUUUGGCAGUCGCCCCUUUUUUUCUCAGUAAAAUUUCCUUACAAGCUCAUUAUUAAGACUUCUUAGCAUCAGAACGAGACUUCUACCUACAAAAUGUCUUAUAAUUAAUUUGAAUCUUGAAAACUCGAUUCAGAAUUCUUUCCUCCCUUUUUUAUCACUUCUAUAUUUUAAAGUUUUAUGUGUAAUUUCUAGCAUAAGCAAACCUAAUCCCCCCCCCCCCCCCCAAAAAAAAAAUUUGAAUAGGGUGUACAAAUGCCCAAAUGCAUUAACACAAAUAUAUAUAUAUAUAUAUAUAU